GCCUCUGUAGCACAGUGGUAGUGCGUCGCACUCGUAUUUAAUGCAGUGCUCAUGCGAAGGUCCUGGGUUCAAUCCCCAGUGGAGGCA